rnacentral:rRNA from 2 species
UGGGGGAUAUUGCACAAUGGAGGAAACUCUGAUGCAGCAACGCCGCGUGAGGGAAGAAGGUUUUCGGAUUGUAAACCUCUGUCCUUGGUGAAGAUAAUGACGGUAGCCGAGGAGGAAGCUCCGGCUAACUACGUGCCAGCAGCCGCGGUAAUACGUAGGGAGCAAGCGUUGUCCGGAUUUACUGGGUGUAAAGGGUGCGUAGGCGGGAAAUCAAGUCAGGCGUGAAAACUAUGGGCUUAACUCAUAGCCUGCGUUUGAAACUGGUUUUCUUGAGUGAAGCAGAGGUAGGCGGAAUUCCCGGUGUAGCGGUGAAAUGCGUAGAGAUCGGGAGGAACACCAGUGGCGAAGGCGGCCUACUGGGCUUUAACUGACGCUGAGGCACGAAAGCGUGGGUAGCAAACAGG